AGAGACUGGGGGCUUGAGUCAAGAAUGGCUUGCCGGCCGGUACGUGUUACCAGUCCAGUCGGCCUGUGCUUAUAGUCUUCCGGCAAGCCGUUCUUGACUCACCUUCGCUCUCU
rnacentral:pre_miRNA from 1 species